rnacentral:lncRNA from 1 species
AUGUUAGAUGAAGGAGUAGAGGCCUGCAUGCACUGUGCCAAAUCCUACAUCCUGGACGAAUUCCUGCAAGAUACACAUUUUACAGUUCACACAUUUGAUAGCCAGAUGAAGACAUAUAAAUUUUUAGAGUUUCUAGUGACAGUAAUCAUCCAGGCGACCACUGAUUGUGUACAACUCGGGGAUCACUUUGAUGAAUGCUUUGGUAUUGUGUUUGCUGAAAGGCUCAUGACCAAUAUCAGACUUAUCAUCAAUGAGAACUUUCUGUAUCCAGAAUUUGUUCGCUGCUGGGCUGAAAAAACGGUGGAUGAUGCCAUUAGAUGUUCUGAUGUCCUUUCUGAGAAACCAGCAAUCAGAUUUGGCACUGCAGCAAAUGUCCAGGACCGAAGAAAAAACGAUUUCAUGCUUUGCACCUUGAAACACGGUAUCAACUCUACAGUGGUCUGCUGAUCUCUAGGAACAUUCAAGCAAAUCCAGAUGUGAUGUGACUGACAGCCACCAGCGAAACCUCUUCUUAUACAAUUAUCUGCUACAGUCUACAAAAAAGGAAUCAAAGACUGGGCCUGGAUACUGGGUCUGUUAAACAAGGUGGUCAUAGCGAGGUUUCUCCAAGUCAGGAAAAAGUGGACUGAUUUUGGGUGCCAUCAUGGAUUAGAAUGCUAAAGAAUUAAAAGAAAUAAAUUUGUUUGAAUAAUGCA